UACGGGGGGAGCAAGCGUUGUUCGGAUUUACUGGGCGUAAAGGGCGCGUAGGCGGUCAGCACAAGUCAGUUGUGAAAUCUCCGGGCUUAACCCGGAAAGGUCAACUGAUACUGUGCGACUAGAGUGCGGAAGGGGCAACUGGAAUUCUCGGUGUAGCGGUGAAAUGCGUAGAUAUCGUAAGGAAGACCAGUGGCGAAGGCGGGUCUCUGGACAGUUCCUGACGCUGAGGCACGAAGGCCAGGGGAGCAAACGGG
rnacentral:rRNA from 1 species